rnacentral:rRNA from 1 species
GGGUUGUGAGGUUAAGCGACUAAGCGUACACGGUGGAUGCCCUGGCAGUCAGAGGCGAUGAAGGACGUGCUAAUCUGCGAUAAGCGUCGGUAAGGUGAUAUGAACCGUUAUAACCGGCGAUUUCCGAAUGGGGAAACCCAGUGUGUUUCGACACACUAUCAUUAACUGAAUCCAUAGGUUAAUGAGGCGAACCGGGGGAACUGAAACAUCUAAGUACCCCGAGGAAAAGAAAUCAACCGAGAUUCCCCCAGUAGCGGCGAGCGAACGGGGAGCAGCCCAGAGCCUGAAUCAGUGUGUGUGUUAGUGGAAGCGUCUGGAAAGGCGCGCGAUACAGGGUGACAGCCCCGUACACAAAAAUGCACAUGCUGUGAGCUCGAUGAGUAGGGCGGGACACGUGGUAUCCUGUCUGAAUAUGGGGGGACCAUCCUCCAAGGCUAAAUACUCCUGACUGACCGAUAGUGAACCAGUACCGUGAGGGAAAGGCGAAAAGAACCCCGGCGAGGGGAGUGAAAAAGAACCUGAAACCGUGUACGUACAAGCAGUGGGAGCACGCUUAGGCGUGUGACUGCGUACCUUUUGUAUAAUGGGUCAGCGACUUAUAUUCUGUAGCAAGGUUAACCGAAUAGGGGAGCCGAAGGGAAACCGAGUCUUAACUGGGCGUUAAGUUGCAGGGUAUAGACCCGAAACCCGGUGAUCUAGCCAUGGGCAGGUUGAAGGUUGGGUAACACUAACUGGAGGACCGAACCGACUAAUGUUGAAAAAUUAGCGGAUGACUUGUGGCUGGGGGUGAAAGGCCAAUCAAACCGGGAGAUAGCUGGUUCUCCCCGAAAGCUAUUUAGGUAGCGCCUCGUGAAUUCAUCUCCGGGGGUAGAGCACUGUUUCGGCAAGGGGGUCAUCCCGACUUACCAACCCGAUGCAAACUGCGAAUACCGGAGAAUGUUAUCACGGGAGACACACGGCGGGUGCUAACGUCCGUCGUGAAGAGGGAAACAACCCAGACCGCCAGCUAAGGUCCCAAAGUCAUGGUUAAGUGGGAAACGAUGUGGGAAGGCCCAGACAGCCAGGAUGUUGGCUUAGAAGCAGCCAUCAUUUAAAGAAAGCGUAAUAGCUCACUGGUCGAGUCGGCCUGCGCGGAAGAUGUAACGGGGCUAAACCAUGCACCGAAGCUGCGGCAGCGACACUAUGUGUUGUUGGGUAGGGGAGCGUUCUGUAAGCCUGCGAAGGUGUGCUGUGAGGCAUGCUGGAGGUAUCAGAAGUGCGAAUGCUGACAUAAGUAACGAUAAAGCGGGUGAAAAGCCCGCUCGCCGGAAGACCAAGGGUUCCUGUCCAACGUUAAUCGGGGCAGGGUGAGUCGACCCCUAAGGCGAGGCCGAAAGGCGUAGUCGAUGGGAAACAGGUUAAUAUUCCUGUACUUGGUGUUACUGCGAAGGGGGGACGGAGAAGGCUAUGUUGGCCGGGCGACGGUUGUCCCGGUUUAAGCGUGUAGGCUGGUUUUCCAGGCAAAUCCGGAAAAUCAAGGCUGAGGCGUGAUGACGAGGCACUACGGUGCUGAAGCAACAAAUGCCCUGCUUCCAGGAAAAGCCUCUAAGCAUCAGGUAACAUCAAAUCGUACCCCAAACCGACACAGGUGGUCAGGUAGAGAAUACCAAGGCGCUUGAGAGAACUCGGGUGAAGGAACUAGGCAAAAUGGUGCCGUAACUUCGGGAGAAGGCACGCUGAUAUGUAGGUGAAGCGACUUGCUCGUGGAGCUGAAAUCAGUCGAAGAUACCAGCUGGCUGCAACUGUUUAUUAAAAACACAGCACUGUGCAAACACGAAAGUGGACGUAUACGGUGUGACGCCUGCCCGGUGCCGGAAGGUUAAUUGAUGGGGUCAGCGCAAGCGAAGCUCUUGAUCGAAGCCCCGGUAAACGGCGGCCGUAACUAUAACGGUCCUAAGGUAGCGAAAUUCCUUGUCGGGUAAGUUCCGACCUGCACGAAUGGCGUAAUGAUGGCCAGGCUGUCUCCACCCGAGACUCAGUGAAAUUGAACUCGCUGUGAAGAUGCAGUGUACCCGCGGCAAGACGGAAAGACCCCGUGAACCUUUACUAUAGCUUGACACUGAACAUUGAGCCUUGAUGUGUAGGAUAGGUGGGAGGCUUUGAAGUGUGGACGCCAGUCUGCAUGGAGCCGACCUUGAAAUACCACCCUUUAAUGUUUGAUGUUCUAACGUGGACCCGUGAUCCGGGUUGCGGACAGUGUCUGGUGGGUAGUUUGACUGGGGCGGUCUCCUCCUAAAGAGUAACGGAGGAGCACGAAGGUUGGCUAAUCCUGGUCGGACAUCAGGAGGUUAGUGCAAUGGCAUAAGCCAGCUUGACUGCGAGCGUGACGGCGCGAGCAGGUGCGAAAGCAGGUCAUAGUGAUCCGGUGGUUCUGAAUGGAAGGGCCAUCGCUCAACGGAUAAAAGGUACUCCGGGGAUAACAGGCUGAUACCGCCCAAGAGUUCAUAUCGACGGCGGUGUUUGGCACCUCGAUGUCGGCUCAUCACAUCCUGGGGCUGAAGUAGGUCCCAAGGGUAUGGCUGUUCGCCAUUUAAAGUGGUACGCGAGCUGGGUUUAGAACGUCGUGAGACAGUUCGGUCCCUAUCUGCCGUGGGCGCUGGAGAACUGAGGGGGGCUGCUCCUAGUACGAGAGGACCGGAGUGGACGCAUCACUGGUGUUCGGGUUGUCAUGCCAAUGGCACUGCCCGGUAGCUAAAUGCGGAAGAGAUAAGUGCUGAAAGCAUCUAAGCACGAAACUUGCCCCGAGAUGAGUUCUCCCUGACUCCUUGAGAGUCCUGAAGGAACGUUGAAGACGACGACGUUGAUAGGCCAGGUGUGUAAGCGCAGCGAUGCGUUGAGCUAACCGGUACUAAUGAACCGUGAGGCUUAACCUUACAACGCCGAAG